GGCGGUUCGUCAGGACACGCGAUCAAAGUAUCUGUUCUUAUCAGCUUAAUAUCUGAUACGAUCCCCAUGUGGGAUCCUCGAUAUUAAACUGAUUUUUGCAACAUGGCGAAGUGCUAGGAGCUUGCUCCACCUUUACCGCGGAUCGGCCCGGUAUUGCAGUAUCUUUGGGAUCGGUUCGUGAGGA